rnacentral:rRNA from 1 species
GACGAACGCUGGCGGCGUGCUUAACACAUGCAAGUCGAACGGUGAAGCGCCUUCCUUUUUGGUGGGUGUGGAUGAGUGGCGAACGGGUGAGUAACACGUGAGUAACCUGCCCCCUUCUUCUGGAUAACCGCAUGAAAGUGUGGCUAAUACGGGAUAUUCUGGGUCUGUCGCAUGAUGGGUCUGGGACAGAUAUUGUUUCGGUGGGGGAUGGGCUCGCGGCCUAUCAGCUUGUUGGUGGGGUGAUGGCCUACCAAGGCGGUGACGGGUAGCCGGCCUGAGAGGGUAGACGGUCACACUGAGACUGAGAGACGGCACAGACUCCGACGGGAGGCAGCAGUGUGGAAUAUUGCACGAUGGGCGCGAGCCUGGUGCAGCGACGCGGCGGAAGGGAAGGGGGCGUUCGGGUUGUGAACAUCUUUCGCUGGUGAAGCAGGCCUGCCUCGUUUGUGGGUGGGUUGACGGUAGCUUGAUAAGAAGCGCCGGCUAACUACGUG